AUUUUCAGCCGAAGCUCUCUUUUAAAGUCAGAGCCUGUGCCUAUUGCCGUCAUCAUUCUCUGAAGAGCUCAGACACAAGUACCAGCUGUGUAGCUCAAGCCCUUGCUGGAGAGGUGGUAAUGGGUCUAUUCUUAGCGGUCAUACUGUGAUGGUUUCUCUGCCUUGCUGGACUCCUGUCAUCGCGACCAGAAAAGAGCAGUGAGGAGCUUACUGGGAGCCGAAUAUCGUGGCUGGAAAGGCAGCCCUUGCCUUCCAGGCACUUCCAUCCGGGAGGAAGAAUGCAGAUAUCCUGGUCACCGCAUGUUAAGUUCCAUACAAGGAAAAAUAAAAAUCAUGGCAUGCUGGCUGGUUUUCCUUUUCUCAUUCUUCACAGACAGUGGGAGGAUAUGACUCUGGAAAAUUAACAUCAAGUGUUUGUGAGGAUGAAGGGCCUUCCCACGAAGAGCUGAAUACCCAUGCCUGCAGUUGGGGAUGUUUUCUCAUUGGGUCACAGCUACCUGUGUGUGAGGCGUGGAUGACUAUAUGGAAUCACUUCAAGUUUUGUAUUUGGAGCAAAACAACACAACACAACCCUUGAAGCUGGCCUGUCCCCAGGGAUACAUAUUCUUCAAAGAAAUCCCCGAUACCAACCACUGUAGCAGAGAAGUCUAUGUUACAUGGAUGGGUACUAUGUCUGUCCAAAGGGAUUCAUUGCUAGAGAAUCAGCAAACAUUCAGUUAACAAUAACCAUGUUGCUGCUACUAAUAAGAUCCUAUGUAUUUCUCCCCAACCCCAUCCCUGGAGUGUGUAGUUUUUUUUCCCUAACAUUGUAGAAUUUGACUCAAACCUGCUCAAUGAUUAGCCCUGUUGAAGAAAAUCUCUGGUCCCUCCAUUUCAAAGUGCAAGUUUCGUUCAGUGAAGAAGCCUGGAGAGCGGCCACGCCUCUCAACCUUCUAUCUUGGGCAGAGGUGGCACCUCAUCCUCUCUCCCUUCCUUCUGAGAGACUGGGUCCUUCAUUCAAACGCUGGCCGUCACUUCCUCCUUCACAGAUCCUGCAAUGAACUUGCAUUCAGUAAGUUACCUGGGCAGCCUUUUGUUCCUCUCCUACAACUGAUCAUUUCCUCCAACUCUACCAUUCUUUUUUAAUCUUUUCUUCUACGUUCUGCUGUCAUUGGCUGCUCUCGGCCCUUCACAGCAUCCUCCGAAAUCUCCAGGUUGUCUAUUGCAGCCGGUAUUCAUCCUGCCCAAGUGUCCCUGAUUUGUGCCACAACGAGGAGGUGAUGGAUUGAGUCCUGAGACCUACUGCAACUCCUCCUUAGGGGUCUUCACAUGGACAAACAUGCGGUCAACGCUUUACAAACUCCUUCCUCCUCCCUUGUCACGUGACUGGCUUACAUUUUCCCCAUCCUCCAUGUAUUGAGCUGGAGCAGAUAACUGAGUUCCGGGCAGAAGGAUGUUCAGAAAAUGACUAGUCUCUGAGGACCACCAGCUCCAGGCACACAACAGGAAAGCCGAGUUGAGCUGUCAGCAUUGGAGAUUAAAGUUCCGGGUUCUUGAAGAGGGAAGUUGCCCACCCUUAAGUUAGACUUCUGCCUACAUCAGUAGGAGAUGCACUUGUAUAUGGAAGCAUUUGGCUUUAUUUAUAACUUAAAAAAAAAAAUCCCAGUUCAAAGCCUGUCUCCCAUUUGGUCUCUAAGCCCUUUCGUAAGGACCUCUUUCCUACUUGGCUCUACCUCAGUUCUCCUGACCUCUCUGUUAGCCCCGGGCAUGCCCAGUCCUGCCUUCCAGCUGCUUCUCCUGACCUCUGCCUUUGUUUCCUUUGCUCAUCUCGAUCUGCAGCUCUUCUAGGAAGAGCUCCAGACACUUUUAUUCCGCGCGCCCCUCUCUAGCUCAGUCACGGACUGGGUCACUCUUGAGUUGGUUUGAGGUAACCCUCUCUGACCUCCAAGGCAAGAAGAGCCCCCCACCCCCCCCGGGGCAUAGUCCUCUGUGCUGGGUAUAAAACCCAGGCUGAGGAUGUGUGGGUAGGUUGCCAUCUCAGGCAUGCAGACUCCGUUCCUCAGAACGAAUCAUGUGUGGUAUGCUCUCCACUAGACAACUUGCUUGUUCAACAAGAGGCUCACUGGGUGUC